CAAGGCACGAUUUGCUGACCCAUUAUAAGCGCAAACUCGGGACUUUGGUCGCCCUGCAAGGUGAAUUGGGCGGUGUAGGGGUAGUCAGUCGGUAGUAGUUCCUACCAGGCACGCACGACUUGCAGACCCAUUAUAAGUGCAGACACAGGACUUUGCUUGCACUGCAAGGUGAAUGUGGCGUUGUAAGGGGCGCUCAUAGUCGUUCCAACAAGACACGAUUUGCUGACCCAUUAUAAGCGCAAACUCAGG